rnacentral:snRNA from 1 species
UUCACUAUGGUCUAUAUUUAUAUUAUCGGUGUGUAAUAUAUGUUCUUCUUAGUUUGACCACUAAGACUUGUAAUAUGAAAAAAACAGUUUUCAUAUUAUUUUUUGACUUUUUUUUUAGUAGUCUAAAAUCUGUUUGCAGAUCUCUUAACUUGGACACUGGCGUCACUAGUCUUGCACUUUUAUGCUAGUAGGAGCGGAGUACUC